UUCACGUGCAGCGGAAAUGUGUAAAGAGAUGUAGGAGGAACAUCUGUAGUGAUGGAGUCUCUUUUCUGUAUAAAAGACUAUGAGGCGAGAACGUGGGGGGAGCACACAAUAUUAUAUACCCGUUGUUGUACAUCGUCGCAAACCUUUGAGUGAUAAGUGUUAGAGUGUUUCCGCCUUUUAGUGCUGCAACAAACGCAUUAAGCACUGCCCCUGGGGAGUAGGGCCGCAAGGCUGAAACUCAAAGGAAUUGAAGGGGGCCCGCACCAGCGGUGGAGCAUGUGGUUUAAUUUGAAGCAAUGCGAAGAACAUUACCAGGUCUUGACAUGUCAUGACAACCAUACAGAUAGGAUCUUCCCGUUCGGGGGACGGGACGAGCACACGUGCAUGGUAGUGGUGAGGUCAGGUCGUGAGAUGAUGGGUUAAGUCCAGCAACGAGCGCAACCCAACCUUUUAGUUUAGAGCAUUCAGUUGGGCACUCUAAGGUGACUGCCGGUGACAAACCGGAGGAAGGUGGGGAUGACGUCAAAUCAUCAUGCCCCUUAUGACUUGGGCUACACACGUGAUACAAUGGAUGGUACAAAGGGCUGCGAACCCGCGAGGUUAAGCGAAUCCCAUAAAACCAUUCUCAGUUCGGAUUGCAGUCUGCAACUCGCCUGCAUGAAGCCGGAAUCGCUAGUAAUCGCGGAUCAGCAUGCCGCGGUGAAUACGUUCCCGGGCCUUGUACACACCGCCCGUCACACCAUGAGAGUUUGUAACACCAGAAGUAGGUGGGGUAACCAUUGGAGCCAGCCGCCAAGUGA
rnacentral:rRNA from 1 species